AUAAUAGUAUCCUUUUAUCUCCUUCCUCAGAACGAUUGGAUAAGGGAAGGCUUCUCUUUCCCCAUGGCGCUUCCCUACACCUCGGUCCCUCGUUUCCAACCUUGUCGCCUUCAAACAAAAGGAUUCUUGCAUGGAAUCGGCUCGGAAAGACUUUCUGUAAGUUUAAUGGCUUUGAAGGCGAAAAAUAUUAAGGUUUCCAAGGCAAUUGAUUGAAAGGAAGCUAAUUUCAAUUAUUAGUAGAAAGAAGGUGGAUUUUAGGGGCUCAGACUGGUGCUUUUGGGACCAGGCAAUGGGUUUUGUCUGGUCACUCUUCAAAUAGGACAUACUUUGUAAUACUCUGUAAAUCUGGUUGUUUGUCCCGUGUUGUGCCUAUGACCUUAGCAACAACGUCAAAUUGCAUGGGAUUGCUUUGGUUCAAGAAUGCUGCUGUUGUUAAUCAGCUUGAACUUGAAAGGAAGUAGCAAGUAAGCCACCUUUUGAAGUACAUCAAACACUGCUUUGCUUCUGCUUCUCUCUAGUUACAGUUGUAAGGCCAACUCUGCAACAACAAAAACAGUUCCAUUAUGUUUCCCUUUCUCCAAUUUUUGCAUAAAGAUGGCCAUCAAAGUUUUAUGUUUCGGGUGUUGGAGGGGGAUUCACAAAAAAAUGAUUUAAAGCAUACUUGGUCUGGGUAACAAAAUCCCUUGGUGAUGAAUUAGACUGGUGAGGCACGUUAAUUUUGCCCUUUUCGCAGGUUAUCAGGGAGUACAAAAUACAUGUAUAUAGACAAGGAGAUGUUGCAGCUGAUUGUUUGACCAAUAUGGGGAGAUCUCAAUGGCAUGAUUGGUUUUCUUCAUGAUGUAGAACUACGUUGGUAUAAUGACUGUAUGGCUAUACCGGCAUUUAUGCUGUUGACUGUGGUGUAUAACCAUUUACAAUAAUAUAAACAAAAGACUUGGGCUUGGCUUCAGUAACUGGAGGGGACAAGAUCAUAGUGCUGUGUGUGAGCUCAUAGAUGUUGAUGAAACUGCUCGCUCCAUAAUUUGUUUGAAAGUUCGUGUCUGCAGUCAGCCCUCACCUCUUGGUGUAUGCAUAUGGUUCACAGCA